CGCUUGUGACCAGACUUGGGCGCGGCGGAAUCAUCCGGGGUUCUCUCCGGUGCACUUCGCCGUGUUCAGGCCAGCAUCAGUUCGGCGCGGGGGAAAAAGGCUUCGGGAACGUGGCUGCUCCGGCAGUGUUAUAGCCCGUUGCAUAAUACCCUGCGCUGGACUGAGGACCGCGCAUCUGCAAGGAUGCUGGCGUAAU
rnacentral:rRNA from 1 species